UCUUAAACUCUUUGUUUACACCCUAGUAAUAUUAUUUGUUUCUCUCUUCAUCUUCAGAUUCCUAUCUAGUGCUCCGGGACGUAAUCCUGGACGCAAAGAAUAAGAAAGGGAGAGUUCCUUGCUUCAUUUUUAGAAAUGGUAUUAGGUUUGAUCUAUUCCACUACCAAAAACCGAAACGGAAAGAGAGGGAUUUGAACCCUCGGUACGAAUAACUCGCACAACAGGGAAUCAAAAGGCAAAUUAAGAUGUUCUUUUUACCUGAGAGAAUUUUUGAGAGCGGGAAGAACAAGAUCGGGAUGAGCAUCAGUGCACCAUAGCUUGGAAGUGAUGAAAAGUUCAUCGCGAGAUGCGAUAAAACCGAACUUAAUCGCUUCUGCUAUAGCUUCUCCCAAUGGCUUCUCUGAUUUGUAAAGCGAUGCAGCGUCGAAGUGACGGUAACCGACACUGAUAGCCUCCAGAAUCGCCUCUUUCAUAACCGUUUCAUCAAAUGGAUCGGCCGCCGUGCCCAUUCCGAUCACCGGCAUGUUCCGGCCGCCGGAGGAGGAGCUCAGUUUCACCUCCGGGAUGCUGAGUGUAGGCACUUGGGGAACAUCGGCCAUUUGAGCCCAAGAGAAACACCUAGCUGGUACUGGACCAAAAGAGUCGACGAAAAUUCCUGCUUUAGGAAACCGUACAUGCAAUAUAAAUACGACCGCAAACAUAUUAGGUCGAAUUCUAGCUUCAGUCCCUAUAUAAUGCUUAAUUUCUGAAUUUAGUCCAUUUUUUUAAAAGGUAAAAUAGUCUUUGUAUUUUA